rnacentral:rRNA from 1 species
GGCGGUUUGUUAAGUCAGAUGUGAAAUCCCCGGGCUCAACCUGGGAACUGCAUCUGAUACUGGCAAGCUUGAGUCUCGUAGAGGGGGGUAGAAUUCCAGGUGUAGCGGUGAAAUGCGUAGAGAUCUGGAGGAAUACCGGUGGCGAAGGCGGCCCCCUGGACGAAGACUGACGCUCAGGUGCGAAAGCGUGGGGAGCAAACAGGAUUAGAUACCCUGGUAGUCCACGCCGUAAACGAUGUCGACUUGGAGGUUGUGCCCUUGAGGCGUGGCUUCCGGAGCUAACGCGUUAAGUCGACCGCCUGGGGAGUACGGCCGCAAGGUUAAAACUCAAAUGAAUUGACGGGGGCCCGCACAAGCGGUGGAGCAUGUGGUUUAAUUCGAUGCAACGCGAAGAACCUUACCUGGUCUUGACAUCCACGGAAGUUUUCAGAGAUGAGAAUGUGCCUUCGGGAACCGUGAGACAGGUGCUGCAUGGCUGUCGUCAGCUCGUGUUGUGAAAUGUUGGGUUAAGUCCCGCAACGAGCGCAACCCUUAUCCUUUGUUGCCAGCGGUCCGGCCGGGAACUCAAAG